UUAAAUUGAAGAGUUUGAUCAUGGCUCAGAUUGAACGCUGGCGGCAGGCCUAACACAUGCAAGUCGAGCGGUAGCACAGAGAGCUUGCUCUCGGGUGACGAGCGGCGGACGGGUGAGUAAUGUCUGGGAAACUGCCUGAUGGAGGGGGAUAACUACUGGAAACGGUAGCUAAUACCGCAUAAUGUCGCAAGACCAAAGUGGGGGACCUUCGGGCCUCAUGCCAUCAGAUGUGCCCAGAUGGGAUUAGCUAGUAGGUGGGGUAACGGCUCACCUAGGCGACGAUCCCUAGCUGGUCUGAGAGGAUGACCAGCCACACUGGAACUGAGACACGGUCCAGACUCCUACGGGAGGCAGCAGUGGGGAAUAUUGCACAAUGGGCGCAAGCCUGAUGCAGCCAUGCCGCGUGUGUGAAGAAGGCCUUCGGGUUGUAAAGCACUUUCAGCGGGGAGGAAGGCGUUAAGGUUAAUAACCUUGGCGAUUGACGUUACCCGCAGAAGAAGCACCGGCUAACUCCGUGCCAGCAGCCGCGGUAAUACGGAGGGUGCAAGC
rnacentral:rRNA from 1 species